rnacentral:rRNA from 1 species
GAACAUCGACAUUUUGAACGCAUAUUGCGGUCCAUACUGACUAGUUUCUUUACCGAAGCUGUAUGGACCACACAUGGUUGAGGGUCGUUAGUUUACGCUAACUGAAUUGCCUUCGGGCUACAUCAUGAGGUGUUGGUAACCUUAAGUGUGUUGCCAUCCCUUGAAAAUACCUUUGGUACACAAUUUACCGAUUGUGAAUGCUUGUUUUAUCAAAGAAAACAAAUAUUGUCGCCAGCAACACAUCGAAUAAACGAUUUAUUGAGGCUAGUAAACUUUGACUAAGCGUUUAAACAUAAUAGUUUACGUAUUUGAAUGCUAACCUGAACACCUCAAAAAAUCACUUCGUUAAUUUAUUCGAGUAAGUUGUUGUUAAUAUGGCAGUAUUUCUUCGUUAAUUUUCUUUGAAGAUAAAAAACAUUCCCAUUUGAAUUGCGGGUGGCAUUCGCGUCACAUGCAAUCGGUUUCAUUGAAUACAACCAUAAAAGCGACCUCAACUCAUGUGAGACU